AGACUUUUCCUGCCCAGGCUGGCUUUGAGCCACAGUCCUCAGAUCUCAGCCUCCUGAGUAGCUAGAAUUACAGGCGUGAGCCACCAGCACCUGGCUUCUCACUGGAUUCUUGACCACUGGUUAAGUUCCUCCAAGUAGUUAAACCCCUCCCUUCUCCAUCCAACUAUAAAUCAUUCUCUUUCUAGGACAUCCAUAGUUCUAUUUACAUUGAAGCAUUAGAUUGAAUUUUUAAAGCUUACUGCUCAUAAGUCUAGCCAAGCCUUCAUCAAGGCCAAGGGU